rnacentral:tRNA from 1 species
GAGUGAGAAGCAAACAUUGCAAUCAGUUUCGACCUGAUCUUAGAUAAAAAUUAUCCACACUCU